GAGAUGGAGCUCUGCAUAUGCAGGCUUUGAUGCUGUUGUUCUCAACAGGGUCAGGCCUGGUGAUUAUGUGAUGUCCUUCUUUGGUGUGUUUGACCCAGUGUUGUUUGGAGUCUGAGGAGGUUUGGCCUUAAAAAAUCAAACUACCAUGGAAACUGCUUUACCCAAAAUUUUGUUUCCCAGCCUUCACAAGAUUGCCUACUGGGGAGAGUUUAGUUAUGUGAACAUAUUCAUAAACUGGACGCAAUUGAAGACAUUGGUUAUUCUACCAAGGCUUUGACUGAAAUGACAUAUAUUUUGACACACAGGAGGUUAUUUCUGAGAGAAAGCCAGCCUGGUGGACUAGAUGAAAGUCACUGUAAGAUCUGUUGAUCCUGAGAAGAGGAAUUGCACAACUCCACCUGUCAAUGCCAAGUGGAGCACCCAGACGACGCAGCUGAUAGACUUCCUAUGCAAGCCAUGGGGGAUUAGCCUGAUGACAGGAAUAUUAACCUUACUUUUUGACUUUUGGGUUUCGGCUAUUAAGUUGUUUAAAAGGGUUUUAAGAAUUAAUGGGU